GUCAAGUGACCUGACUCAUCCACCAGGUGGGGCCUAGUUUAAAAUUCUCCAAACAUUACAAAAUGAAUUGUUUGACUUCAAUUGCAUCAUUGUCAUUGAUAGAACAUCGUGUGUUUGUGCGUUCAGUGUGUCGAUUGCAUCGUCCGUAAAAAAUCAUGACCACAUUGAGUGGCCAAUUAAUUUUCGUUUUCGUAGUAUUUCUGAUUUAUUUGCUACCUCGCGUUUACAAGAAUUUUUUGUUAACUUGUAUCGUGUACUUGGUGUUAAUAGUUGUAGACGGCGAUCAGUAUUUCAAAAAAUGUGCUUUUUCAGACCGUUUCUGUAAAAUGGUGAACAUUUCAUUCAUUGCUGUUUUUGGCAUCCAUUUGAUAUUUGGCCUAUUGUUGAUAGUCGGUGACAUAAAAAAAAAAUAUAAACUUAUGAUACCAUGGCUUCUGUGGUGGUUCGUACCUACAAUCGGCAUUAUCUUUAUCGCUUCAGUUCACGACUAUCUUUACUUGGCCCUGGCAGGGUGGAUCGUUGCGAUGUGUCUGGAUAUAUAUUUCUUUAAAUAUAGAAAAUACAAGGCUUCGGCAGAAAUGCCGAAAGUGGCGAAAGAUAAGCCUGGGCGUAAAUCGAUCAAUGAUAGCAGUGAACUUCAAUUAGCUCCUACCAUAUCGGCGAAUUUCCAACAGUCCGAUUUGUGGUGCUGAGUGUAAAUCAAUCGAAUUGUUUUUCAUUUAAUUUUAAUUAGAAUUUAGCAAAUGUUUAGAAAAUUAAAUAAAUUCGGAUAGCUUU